UUACUGUUGUGUUAUACAUAGCGUCGGUUUGUGCAGCGCGCUCAACUCAGGGCAAGGAACGCUUGUUGAACGGAACGUAACAAAGGCGUGUCAAGAUGGUGGCUAAGAAAGGAGCGAAAAAGGGGGCGGCAGGUGACUCGGGUGCUGCUACAGCAGCUAAGGCAAAGACAUCCAAAAAGGCAGCAAAAAAGGGGCCAAAGAAGGGUGGAGUUAAAAAGAGGACAACCAAGAAAGCAAAGAAGGGUGGAAAGAAGAAGUAAUUUAUUAUUGUUCCACGAGCAAUAUGGUGGGGACGUACAUUUCACGACAUGGUGUACAGAUUGCAGACAGCAGUGACGACUUCCCAACUCUGCCAAUAAUCUCCAUCAAGCAAACCUAGACAGAGACACAUAGAUCUAAGCAAUUGUUUCGAUUUGUGUUUUAAUUCAUAUUUAAAAUUUUAUACUCAUAAUUUUAUUGGUAUACAUUUCACACCCAUUUUUAAUUAGCAAUUUUAUUUUAAAUAUAUAUUUUUGUUUCCCUUCAUUAUUGUCUGUACCAGUAAAGAUAUUAGUUUUUAAAAUUUUUAGUGCUCAUGUUCCUUGGACUCGCAUGCAAUUCUGGUUAACCUUUUUAAAAACAUCUCAUCUUGUCACAGUAUUGGAGAUUUUUGUUUCCAUGGACACCAGGACAUUCGUGUCAUCACACGGGGCGAAUCCAAGCCAGGUUUUUGCCACCACAGGGUGUGAAACAGAAUGCACAGAUACAAAUUUUCUCUCUCUCUCUCUCUCUCCAACAGCGUCAUGGUGUGUUUGUGUGUGUUCACGUCUGGCAUGGCGCGCAGGUCACCAAGGUUUAAACCAUGUCAUGUGUUAGAAGUACGGAGACCCCAUAUUCACGUGCGUGUUCAUCCAGAUCAUGUUGUUAGUCUCACUUAUCAUUUGUAAAAUAAAACAUUUAACAUUU